GUGCCUAUAGCUUAAUUGAAUAAAGUGUAACCCUCCGAAGGUUAAGAGUACGAGUUUGAAUCUCGUUAGGCACG
rnacentral:tRNA from 1 species